rnacentral:rRNA from 1 species
UACGUAGGGUGCAAGCGUUAAUCGGAAUUACUGGGCGUAAAGCGUGCGUAGGCGGUGUCUUAAGUUUGUUGUGAAAUCUCCCGGCUUAACCGGGAGGGUGCGGCGAAUACUGAGAUGCUGGAGUGCCGGAGAGGUAAGCGGAAUUCCUGGUGUAGCGGUGAAAUGCGUAGAUAUCAGGAGGAACACCUGCGGUGUAGACGGCUUCUGGACGGUAACUGACGCUGAGGCACGAAAAGCGUGGGUAGCAAACAGG